CCGCAACACUCCGAAGAGUGGGUCUCUGACCCCGCCGAAGGAGCAAGCCGCAGCACGCGCGGCGAAUCUCUCAGGCCCACGACGGAGGGGGCAUC
rnacentral:ncRNA from 2 species